rnacentral:rRNA from 1 species
GUGGGGAAUAUUGGACAAUGGGCGAAAGCCUGAUCCAGCCAUGCCGCGUGUGUGAAGAAGGUCUUCGGAUUGUAAAGCACUUUAAGUUGGGAGGAAGGGCAGUAAGCUAAUACCUUGCUGUUUUGACGUUACCGACAGAAUAAGCACCGGCUAACUUCGUGCCAGCAGCCGCGGUAAUACGAAGGGUGCAAGCGUUAAUCGGAAUUACUGGGCGUAAAGCGCGCGUAGGUGGUUUUGUAAGUUGAAGGUGAAAUCCCCGGGCUCAACCUGGGAACUGCCUCCAAAACUGCAUGACUAGAGUACGGUAGAGGGUAGUGGAAUUUCCUGUGUAGCGGUGAAAUGCGUAGAUAUAGGAAGGAACACCAGUGGCGAAGGCGACUACCUGGACUGAUACUGACACUGAGGUGCGAAAGCGUGGGGAGCAAACAGGAUUAGAUACCCCAGUAGUCC